rnacentral:lncRNA from 1 species
CGGGGGGAGCGCCUUGUGCCCCCCGCCUGCCGCCGUCCCCUCCCCAGAGGGGGACACCCGCCCCUAGAACUCGGCCAUUCCACCAAACCCACCGGCUUCCAGCCCCCGGCUGCCCAGCUGAGCGCAGAGCUGCCCAGAACCAGCCCCAAAACCUUGAGGAGCCUCCAGGAAGGAAAACACCAGGAGGGUCUCAAGUCUUGAGGAUCCAAGCAGACAGAAGGGAAGAAUCAGCUCCUCCUGCCAGGUGGACCAAGGACACCUUCAGGUCUCCCCCUGCAGGCUCCCUUCCCCUCCACCCCGGCACUCAGAUCCUCCGGGGAGCGGCGCAGCUCACGGUGGAGUCACCGCCCGCAUUUCCCACCCAGCGGCUGUGACAGCACAGGAUCUCUGCUGUGACACUGUGACACCGCCAUCCAUCACCAGGCAGGCGUCUGGGCAGCGCCAGGAGAAGGACAAACAGCAUCUGUCCAGCUCAGCAGGGAACCAGCGCAGCUUUCCCAGCCCGUCCCCGUGUCUGGGAGCCCGGCACCAACCGGGACUCAGCGUUUCCAGCCCUUCAUCCUCCCGGAUGAGACAGGCUGUGGGGAGAAGACCCCAACACGAUGAGGGAGGGGUUUAGUGAGGGCCCCUCAGCCCCUGUGGCCGUUAAGACAUUCCAGGUAGCUCAGUGAGUUUUCCAGAAGCAAUGCUGGAGGGUGGGAAGGCUGUCAGGGGGCUCUGAGGGGUUCCUGGGGCUCCAUCAGGCUCCUGUGCUGAUGCCCAGGGAAUGCCAGGAGUGUUUGGACACCGCUGCCAGGGUUGGGGUGUCUGGGCAGGGCCAGGAUUUGGGAUUGGUGAUCCAUGUGGGUCCUCUCCAGCUCGGGAUAUUCUGGUAUCCACGGCUCUGGGAUUUGAGAUCUUCUGGGCUGGGAGGACAGGAGGCUCCUGCUGAGUGCAAGGGAUGACAAAGGAGCUCAGGCACAGAAGGUUUUGCAGAUUCCUGCAGUGUUCCUCCUGAGAAUCACCCCCCUCAUUCCCCCUGGCUCUGGAUCCCGGCUCCUGUGACCCUGAACACCCUGACUGGCUGUAAUUAAAGGCCGAGCAAUUGCC